GAUGAACGCUGACAGAAUGCUUAACACAUGCAAGUCAACUUGUGGCGGACGGGUGAGUAACGCGUAAAGAACGUGCCUCACAGGUAGGGACAACAUUUGGAAACGAAUGCUAAUACCUAAUACUGUGAGAGAGCUUUGCGUCCCAUUAGCCAGUGGGAGAGGUAACGGCGCACCAAGGCGAGGAUGGGUAGCCGGCCUGGGAGGGUGAUCGGCCACAAGCGGCUUGAGACACGUGCCUUACUCCUACGGGGGGCAGGAGUGGGGCAUCUUGGACACUAGACCGAAGUCUGAUGAAGCAAUUCUGUGUGCACGGUGAAGUUGUCGGAAUGUAAAGUGCUUUCAGUUGAGAAGCGGUACCAACAGAAGAAGUGACAGCUAAAUACGUGCCAGCAGCCGCGGUAAUUC
rnacentral:rRNA from 1 species